ACUGGCGCCGGAGGGCAGAAUCAAUCUGGAAAUACAAAGCAAAUUCUCUAAAAGCGUACAGACGAGAAGACACGAGAAACAGACAAAACAGUAUUAUCUUUUUAGAUGAGAGCUAUCAAAAUAUUUAAGUUUUAGUUUGCGAAGCGAUUGUCGAAAGUGUGAAAAUGCUGACAAAAUUUUUCUCUGCUCAGUUUUCAAAUACGUUGAGCCGCGGGACAGGAUUCCAGCACGUGGAUGUAUUUUGACCUGUCUGUGUGUUUUGUAUGUUUGUACAGUUUUGUGUUUGUGUAGGGCAUGUUUAUGUGCUUUUACAGUUUUCCCAAAGAAAACGUGCGCCAGAGUUCAUGACCGUGAGCCUAGGGCUUUGCUGUACGCGUGACUACCGCUGUUUUUGUACAACCUGAGUGAAGAAAAAUGUGUUUCAUCAGCAAAGGCUUGUCCCCGGAAAGACGCACCCGGCUCACACUGAGAGUUGCCUCCCCGAGCCCCUUUGCUUGUGGUCUACCCCCUCCCUCUUAUAAAACGAGAGCAGGGGUGACCAUUGUUACCUUACUGGAGAAAGAAACGCAGACAAGAAGUUUUGAUGGCUGAUGGAUUAUUGAAAAGCAAAGCUAGUUCAGGCUGGCCUUGAAUUCAGUUUGUAGCCCAGGCUGACCUCAAACUCAAAGUGAUCCUCCUGCCUGAUGCUAACUUUUAAAAAGCCAAGCCAGAGAAGGCAUUUUUGUAAAGAGAACUCUAAGUGGCCUGAGUACCAGUGCAUGCUGUCUUGCCAUCUCAUGAACCCAUGCCUAAAGAAAGAGUUAAUUCCACCUUUCAAGAAACUAAUGCUCAGUCCUAGGACAGUGAUGGCUCAGAUUACAGCUGCUAGAGAAGGAUGAGUUUAGAUUCAACUUGGGACCAACUGAAGGAAUUGACCCAGAAUGCCCAGGAGAUGGUAACUAAACAUGUGAAUCAAAGAUCUGAGUAGGUGAGUAGAGUGCUUUGAGAUAACCAAGGUGAAAGUUACUUGAAAGAAGGGGACACAAAAAUUACCAGUAUGCUUAAGAAAAAAUAAAAUAUUAAAGUUGUAUAUCAAUUAUAGAUAAAGAUUUUAGUCCUUCCAAAUUCUUCUUAUAAGAGAUCUCUACUAGACUUCCAGGAAAACAUGGCGGACAAAUAACAGCAGCCACAGAGGCUCUCUGAGAUUACCAGUUUAGAAUCCAGGAGUAGUGCUGUGUGAGGAGUCCUACGCAAGGGGAGAUGUACCCUGCUGACCCGGGAAUGAACUAAGCUGAGAGAAACCAACUGGAAAUGCAAUCCUGAUGCUAUAACAGGAACAGAUAAAAUUUCAGUGCGGAAGCUGGAUCCCGUGCCAUUGGAAGCCACAAUUUGAAUUUCCUGCUGCCAAUAUUGCAUCCCAAUCUGCACGGCAGGGAGAGAGACGCACGAAAGCUCUGAGAGCUGGAAUCGGCGAACCAAACAGCAUGGAGAGCGGGACUGGCAGGGAGCCCUGCAUCGGCCUGCGGUGAGUAAGAGAAAUGGGGACCCUUUCAUAGACUAGGAGGCUCCAACAGAGGACAUGCUGGGAACGAGCAGACUAGCUGGAACAGGGCCCUGCAGUGACUUUAGUCGCAUAUUCCCCUCUCAAGCGGGAGUGGUGAGGAGCACUUGGCCUGGUGAUGCUGCAGACUAAGAUUCAGUAGGCUAGCCCAAAUCAGGUCCCUGCACCUGGCGGUGCCCCUAGCAGUGAAGCAUUCAGUAGGUUGACCUGGAGGGGCGGGCCCAGCAGAGGCUGCCCAGGUCUGUGUCUUCCUAGUACACUGCAGUGGGUGGGAACACCUAGCCAGUGGAUUCAAACAAACUGUAACAGACAAAGAGAAAAAAAAAAAAAAAAAAACUGGGCCUCCUACAUAACGCUUGUAUGGAAGGAACAAAAAGUAUGGGAAAAGGGAGAACAAGAAAGGGUCCUCAGUCCCCAAUCCUGAGAACACUGAUCCAGGAAAGGUAAAUGCAAAAGAGAAUGAAGACAGAAAACAUGCAAUAUCAGACAUGGCAACUAUAGGCAUAAAGCGGUAUCUCCAGAGCCUCAUAGAUGAGUUCAAAAAUGAAAUAAAGCAAGAAAUAAGUAGAAUAGUUAGAGAAAUGCUAAGCACCGCCCAAGAAAAAACAAAUGGUGGAAUGGAAGAACAGAAAAAGAGGGGAGAAUUGUUUGAUGGAGAAAAUAGAGAAAACAUAGAAUACGUGAAACAGGUUCAUAGAGAUUACCAAGAAACUAAAAACUCUAUUGAAAGUUGGCAUAACAGCUUGAAAGAAACUAAGGAUAUAUUAUCAGAACUGGAGGACAGAUUUGUAAGGUGGGAGCAUGAAAUGAAAAACUUCUUAAAAAUAACAAGAAAACAAACAGCAAUAAUACAAAGACUAGAAGAUGAUAAGAGGAUCUAUAACUUAAGAAUUAAGAACAUAAAAGAAGAAGUAGGGACUCAACAAAUGAACUACAAAAGCUAUUCACAGAAAUAAUCCAGGAGAAUUUUCCUAAUUUAGCAAAAGGUAAAGAUACUCAGAUGUAAGAGGCAUACAGGACCCCAGCCACCUACAACCCAAACAGAGCUACACCCAGGCAUAUAAUAAUCAAAAUUCCUGAAAUCCAAUAUAAGAACAGAAUAUUAAAAGCCAUCAGAGACAAGAAACAGAUCACUUACAAGGGAACACCCAUCAGAAUUACAGCAGACUUCUCGGCACAAACCAUCAAAUCACGAAGAGCGUGGGGGGGAAAUAAUUCAAGCUUUGAAAGAUAAUAACCUCCAGCCAAGAUUGAUGUAUCCUACAUAACUGUCCCUAGAAAUUGAUGGAAAAACAAGGUGCUUCCAGGAUAAAGAGGAACUAGGGGAAUUUGCAACCACCAAUUCAACUCUACAGAGAAUACUGCAGGAUAUUCUAAAAAUGAAAAAUACCAAGAUUCCAGAAACAGUGGCAGAAUGGCCACAAUGAAUGGAGCAGAAAGUGAAAUGAAGAGGACAAACUGACAACUAAUGACAGAAAAAGAGCUCAACAGAAAUGAGGCAGAGAAGGUUGGAUGGUAGGAACAGCCAAUUUGGAGAAAACAAGACAUCAUAAUAGGUAGUGCUGAUUUAAUAUCCUCUUGUUUUGAAGUCCCAUCAAGCUUUUGUUCUUCUGUCUCCAUCGGUUUUGACGUGUUGUAUCUUACUGGAUUUUAUUAUAUGUGAUAAUAUAAACAAAAACUUAUAGACAAGGAGAUUAUAUAGAAACCAUUGUUCAUUUUCUGUUAGUUGAUUCUAAAUACCCUGUAAUACUGUCAUUCUCUUGAAUGGUUUUACAUUGUCUUGAUAUGUUUGAUGCUACAGUAUACCAAGUUAUACCCAAAGAUUUUAAGGGAAGAGACACUAGGGUACCUACUAUUAUGUGGAGAUUAUCUUGUAGUGAAACACUAUUUUGCUUAAAUGGCUAUGUUUUGACCUACACUGUUUUGUUGUUAUGCCUUCUUUUUUAUCUCAAUCUCCUUUUUUAUUAUCUACUUUUUCAUUUUUAUCCUUUUAAUUAAGGGAAAAAUAAAUAAAAAAUAGCAGGAUAUAUUAUAGUAACCCACUUUGAUUUCCUAUUAACUUGAUUUGAAACUCUGUAUUGCUCUCACCAUCUUGUUUUGACUGAUUUUCCUCUAUUCUGUUAUGCUAGAUAGUACCAAGUUUGAAAGUGUAGGCAACAACUAUGAAGACAAUAAGAUUCAUUGUGAUGCCCAUUCUGGUGGACUAUUAUCUUCUUUUGAAGUCCUCUAAUGUCUCCAAUGUUUUGGUUUUAUUGGUAUUAUUCUUUACUGUUUUGUUCAGUUUUAUUAUAACUGAUGAUAUAGGCAAUUCUUUUUAAGAUAGCAAGAGGCAUUAUGGUAACCAUUGUUGAUCACCUUGUAUUUUGUUUUUACAUUAUGUAUUAUGUCCAUCCUUUUGAUUUGACUGACUCUGUCCUGGUAUGUCACAUUUGGUUUUACUUUCUUCAAAAAAAAAAAAAGUAAUAAGAACUGUGGGAGUAAUAAAACCCAAAAUGUGUAGCACAAAAGAAAGGAAAAGAAAGUUCUCUAAAAGAUAUAACUGCAUAUAUAUUUAAGUGUAUAAGAUAGAUAACCAUAUUACUGAGUUUUGUUGGGUCAUUGAACAAAACUGUUUGCAGUCUCACUGUUUGAAAGUCCCCUCUAUAUGCUUUAAUUUUGUAACUUCAACAACUAUUUGGAAGAUGACAAUGUGUAAUUAAGUAGUGAUUUCCUACUGUUUAUUUUUUCUGAAAUUCUGUAUAACUUGUACCCUUUUUCGGUUUUUUUUUUCUCCUUAAAUAAAAUUUUAAAAAAAAGAGAUCUCUACUAAUCAA